UAGGGUUCGAUUCUGGCUCAGGAUGAACGCUAGCGGGAGGCUUAACACAUGCAAGUCGAGGGGUAAAUGGCAGCAAUGCUAUGAGACCGGCGGACGGGUGCGUAACGCGUAUGCAACAUACCUUGUGCAGGGGGAUAGCCCGUGGAAACGCGGAUUAAUAUUCCAUAGUCCAGCUAUAUCGCAUGGUAUAGUUGGUAAAGAUUUAUCGGCACAAGUUUGGCAUGCGUCUGAUUAGCUUGUUGGUAGGGUAACGGCCUACCAAGGCUACGAUCAGUAGGGGUUCUGAGAGGAUUAACCCCCACACUGGUACUGAGACACGGACCAGACUCCUACGGGAGGCAGCAGUGAGGAAUAUUGGUCAAUGGGCGGAAGCCUGAACCAGCCAUCCCGCGUGAAGGAAGACAGCCUUACGGGUUGUAAACUUCUUUUCUGUCAGAAGAAUAAGCUUGUCGAGACGAGUGAUGCCGGUAUGACAGGAAUAAGCAUCGGCUAACUCCGUGCCAGCAGCCGCGGUAAUACGGAGGAUGCAAGCGUUAUCCGGAUUUAUUCGGUUUAAAGGGUGCGCAGGUUGUUUGAUAAGUCAGUGGUGAAAGUCUGUCGCUUAACGGUAGGAUUGCCAUUGAUACUGUUGGACUUGAAUAUGGAUGAGGUAGGCGGAAUGUGUAGUGUAGCGGUGAAAUGCAUAGAUAUUACACAGAACACCGAUUGCGAAGGCAGCUUACUAAUCCAUCAUGACG
rnacentral:rRNA from 1 species